rnacentral:tRNA from 1 species
CCGCUCGGUCGCCGAGCGGGGCUGGCCGCUGCCGGGCUCGGGUCCCGGUGCGGAUGUGGUCCCGUUCCGCGCCGCACCGGUCCAGGUCCGGCCGGGCACC